rnacentral:misc_RNA from 1 species
AAGUCGUAACAAGGUCAUCGUAGGUGAACCUGCGGUGGGAUCAUCACCAAAUAAUAAUACGGAGCUUGGGUGGUAUUAGUAUCACCCGAGUACCAUCGUGUGAGAUUGGUAAUAGAGUGGAAUACGGGAAAAUUCUCUGGCUUUUAUUAGGCAGGGAUUGAGUACCGGUCCAUAUUAGCUCGAGUAGGGAAAGUACCUUGCCUUUUAUUAGGCAGAUUCGAGUACCUGCUCGAGCACCAUGUAAUACGGAAAUUAAUACAAACGUAAUACAAAACUAGGGUUGGUUGUUAUGGCCAGUCCGUAUAAAACAUAAUACAACUAUUAAUGGUGGAUCACUAGGCUCUU